rnacentral:rRNA from 1 species
CACCGCCCGUCACACCAUGGAGUCAGUUGCUCUAGAAGUCGGUGCGCCAACCUCGGAAGGCAGCGCCUAAGAGUGACUGGUGACUGGGGUG